CAAAAUGCUUUUUUUAAAGCCAUUAAUAGGCUCAAUUAAAUUUUG
rfam:Struthio camelus australis contig69789, whole genome shotgun sequence.